AGCACAGUUAUGGGAGCACAUUUUUGAACACAGGCUCCCACCUUCAACUUAUCACUUCCUUACCUUUGCUGGGGUACCUGAUGACUUUAAAGAGACUGUUUCUUUGGAGAAGGUGGAAUACGCUUAAAGAUUGGUCUUGCCUUUAAAACACCAUUUUAAAAGAGACCAUUUGUUAGUGCCUGAAAUCUGUAACUGGCUUAAAAGCUCUGUCAGCUGGAAAGGAACCUGUCAGUGUGAUAAUGGAAAAGAAGAAGAUACAUCAGAGAGAGAGGGUGAAAAUACCAAGGAUAGAGCAAGUCUGACAAACUCACGUUGAAUAACAAGAUCUUCAUGGCCUGGAUCCCUGAAAGACUGUGUGGAACAGAGCCCCUUGACAACCUGAAACCCCUACCUUCAUUCAGAUUGUUGUGUGAGGUUCCAAUAAUGUGAUUCCUUUUUAAGACACUAAGGGGGAGUAUUUGUUACAGCAGGUUAACAUAUAUUAAUUAACAGCCAUAUAAUAAAAUAUGUGUGUAUUUAAGAACAGCAAAAAAAAA
rnacentral:lncRNA from 1 species